rfam:Erinaceus europaeus unplaced genomic scaffold scaffold00322, whole genome shotgun sequence
CACAGGUAUGGCGAUAUGGUGCCCAAGACAAUUGCAGGGAAGAUCUUUGGCUCUAUCUGCUCCCUGAGUGGUGUCCUGGUCAUCGCCCUGCCUGUCCCUGUAAUUGUCUCCAAC